rnacentral:rRNA from 1 species
GAAGGCAGCAGGCGCGCAAAUUACCCAAUUCUAACAGCAUAAGAGAGGUAGUGACAAGAAAUAACAGUACAAGGCAGUUAAAAUGCUUUGUAAUUGGAAUGAUAGAAAUUUAAAUACUUUUUAAAGUAUCAAUUGGAGGGCAAGUCUGGUGCCAGCAGCCGCGGUAAUUCCAGCUCCAAUAGCGUAUAUUAAAAUUGUUGCAGUUAAAAAGCUCGUAGUUGAAUUUUUGCUAAAAAUAACCGGUCUGCUUUUAUUAAUAAAAGUGGUAUCUUGGUGUGUUUCUAGCAAUAAUGUCCUUUGAAAUGUUUUUUACUUCAAUGUAAAAAGCAAUUUUCAGGAUUUUUACUUUGAGAAAAUUAGAGUGUUUCAAGCA